rnacentral:rRNA from 1 species
CAGCCGCCGCGGGAAUACGUAGGUGGCAAGCGCUGUCCGGAAUUAUUGGGCGUAAAGGGCUCGCAGGCGGUUUCUUAAGUCUGAUGUGAAAGCCCCCGGCUCAACCGGGGAGGGUCAUUGGAAACUGGGAAACUUGAGUGCAGAAGAGGAGAGUGGAAUUCCACGUGUAGCGGUGAAAUGCGUAGAGAUGUGGAGGAACACCAGUAGCGAAGGCGACUCUCUGGUCUGUAACUGACGCUGAGGAGCGAAAGCGUGGGGAGCGAACAGGAUUAGAUACCCCGGUAGUCCCUGUCUCUUAUAC